GACAAAACAAUAGACAAACUCAAAAUGGGAGACAUUGGACAAGAUAACUGGCCAAACUCUUCCGAAGUGUCAAAGUCAUGAUGUCAAAGAGAGAGGGGAGACCUGAUUCCUGCUCCAGGACACCUCAGAGACAGGACAACUAAAUGAAAAGUGAGAUUCUGUAUUGAAUAUUUUUGCUAUAAAAUACUUGAUUGGGACAACUGGCGAAUCUUGAAUGGAGUCUGAUAAUUAGAUAGUAGUUGUGAACUGCUGUUAAUUUCUGGAUUCUGAUGGGUAUAUUGUAUAGUGUGUAGGACUAAACUCUUAAGUGUUCAGGGGUUUGGGGCAUUAGGUCAGCAAUUUACUCUCAAAUGAUUCAGGGUAAAAAAAAUUCUUUGUACUGUACAUGCAAAUUUUCUGUAAACUUGUCAUUGUUUCAAAAGCUAAAAAUGAGUUAAAAUUUUUGUGAUCAAUUCUGGUAAAGAGAAGAUUAAGAACUGGCUAAAUAAUGUUCUUCAGGUAUGACAAGUGUUGUUAUAAGGAAGGUCUUUUUCAUCUGCUGAGAAACUUAAUAGAUUCAUGUUAGACAUACGUAUUUAAUUCAAUUUCACUUAUUUCCUAAACAAGCCUUACAUGAGUCUAUUUAUAGAAAGCAUUCAUAUUAAAUACAAAUACAAUAGUCAAAUCAUUAAAAUAAGUGUAAAAGAUGAGAGUCAAGAAAUGAGAUGAAAUGAAUAAUAAGAGAGUAGGAAUUUAUAUAUGAUAAAAACUGGCCAGGUGCGGUGGCUCAUGCCUGUAAUCCUAACAUUUUGGGAGGCCGAGGUGGGUGGAUUGCCUGAGCUCAGAAGUUCGAGACCAGCCUGGGCAACACGGUGAAACCCCGCCUCUACUAAAAUACAAAAUAAAUUAAAUGGGGGUGGCGGCAGGCGCCUGUAGUCCCAGCUACUCGGGAGGCUGA
rnacentral:lncRNA from 1 species